AGAAAGUAGGGACCAACAGAGGACACAAAGGAAGUUAUUUUGGUGUUCGCACAGUUACGUAAGUUGAUUGAAUUGACGUUUAACCCGCCGGCUGCUCAACAACAACCGGAGAUUAGACAGAGCAGCACUUGAUCAACCAACAAGAAAAUUUCACACACAGCAACUGCAAAAACAAAACAUACAAAUGAGCUUUUGAGAUGAUGCAGGUUGUUGCCAAUAUAAUUAUUUCUCCAAAUUCAAGUAGUUCAAAUGUGCCAUCAGCUUGUUCAUAUGAAUGAGUCAAACAAGAAAGGAAGAAAAUAAUUACAAGGGCGUGAUUAUGUGUUUCUGGACUUCUUGCAUGUUUGUCACUCUUGGUAAAUAUCUCCCAUCAUCUAACGAGUGUAAAUAUCAGUCAAGUAAAGACAAAAUGCAGUUUUUAUAUGAAGGUUUUCUCCUAUUAAUGGGAGACACUGGAGGGUUUACGAGCAUAAACAGCCUUUUAAAGGUCAUGCCGCAAACUUUUGUUUGGACCUCGUCAAAGCCACUCCAAAAUCUUCCUUUUGUUUUUUUCCAGUUCACGACAGGUCCUGGGGCAACGAAGCUGCCUCAUAUCAUCACAAUACUACCUCCGCGUUUGACUCUAGACAUGUUCUCCUGAAACGCUGCGCUACAUUUUACACCAUAUGUGACGAGACAUAUCUUGAAAGGAAUUCAACUUUUGUUUGUUUCAUCAAUCACAUCUUUUGCAAAAGUUAAGAUGUUUUUUUUGUCAGUAGUGUCUGCAAUGAUGUCAUUUUUGCCCAGUAUCUUGCAUAUUAUGAAAUCAUAAAUUCUUACCUUAAUUGAAACGAGUGCCAUCAAUUCUUUUGAUAUCGUGCAGGGUUACUUUGUGACCUCCUGGAUGAGUCAUUAUGAUGCUUUUGGGGUCAUCUAUAGGCUGGCCACUCCUGGGAAGGCGAGUAACCAUCAAGUAACCUACUUCUUCACACAGGGUCAGGAAGCAUUGAAUAUUCUUUUUCUUAAAGGUGUGUCACUGACAAUGACUCACGAGCUACUGGUGAGCACAAUGGGUUUAUUUGUGAUUUUGGUGUUUUGUUGCAUGUGGGUGAAGUUAAAGCAAAGAUAAAAUGAAGAAUGAUUUAAUUUGGGGGAAAUAAUGAAAUAAUUAGUAAUAGCUAUUUUGUGCAUGAUUUCAUGAUCUAAGACUCAUCAAUUGUUUGUAAUUUCAUACUUUGAAGGUUUUUCACCUGACGAAAUAAAUUGCCCUUCUUUGCAAGUGGAGAAAGCUGUGCGGUCAAAAUACACUUGACAAGCAAAACGACAAUACAUUUGUACGGACAAUUUGCGCCCCCUUGUGGAGCCACUCCGAAGUGCUCAUCAAGCACACAGUUGGGGAUGGACCAGAUUCGGGACAUUCAUGGAACGAUUUUGAAUCAAGGAAGGUUUGAAUCUCUUGAGAAUUGUGCAGAGAUGACUACGUAUAUGUAAACAAGGGAAUUCUGGGAAUGGUGAACCAGAAGUCAGAAGACCUGAAUGAGU